CCAGAUUCUCUCUGACUUUGGAGCAACUAGAGAAACUUUUAAACAAAGAAUUGCUUAACGUUCAUCAUGAUGGAUCCAGGUCCUAUCACCCCAGGCUCUUUCCUAAGGCCUGGCCCUCACUCCUACUGUUCUUUCCUCCUGCUGUCAUCUCCUCAGGUCUCUGGAACAUUCCAAUAGACCAAAUUUGGAAAAGAAAGCCAUUACAUUGUGGAAAAUUUAAAGGCUAAGACAUUCCAAAGACAAAUGAUGAAUCGAAAACAGUAUCGACAAAAUUUAACUUCAGUUUAUAGCCGACAAACUGCUACAAUUUUGCACAUGGGUGCACAUGUGGAAGCUUUUCCAUAAGAGACAGCAGCCACCACAAAUAUUUGUGAAGAUGUGCUUUCUCCUUUGUCUAGGGUUUACGCUCUCCAGUUUAGAUUGAAUUCAUGUGGUAUCCUGGGUUGUUCAUUGUUGUAAUGUUUUACUUUGUUCGGAAAUUGAUGCUAUUGUCAUUCAACUCUCUGAGUGACACAUCAACACAGCCUUCUUUGAGUGCCAAGCAAUAUGGAUUACAGAGUAAACACAGUGCAGAAACCACAAGUUCUCAAGCCUGCAAAUCACGAUUAGUUCAGCAAGAAUCCAGGACACUGAAGGAAAGAUGAAGAGAAACAACCCUUCAAAAGUGAAGAAGGAGCAAUUAUCACCUCUAUAUAUUUUGAAUCAUACUCUAGGAAAUGUUAGAAUAAAAGAUGAAAAUUGGUGAGUUCAAUAUUAUUUUUAUUGGAAUAAAUGUUCAGGUGGAAUGUCAAUUUAUUUUUGAGUACACAAUCUUGCCAAAUCUAAAACAUUCAUAAAUAGAACUUUUAAAUUUGAUCUCUUGCCUUGUCAAGAAUUCUCAUACUACUUUUCUAAAAUAAGAUAUCUACCUAAUAAUGGAAGUAUUUAUCUCAAAUUCAGUAUUUAAAUCGCUACUUUGAAUGACUCCUGAAAUUAAUCUAAUCUGAAGUUUAUAUAUCUUUGUAAAUUUUUUUUUAUUUUGACAACAUAGUUUCAUAAGCUAUGAUUAGUUUGGGGGUUUUGUGGGCGUAGUGUACAAGAUAACCAGGUGGAAAAGUUUUUGACUUAUCAAAGCCGCACUUUGAGAAGUAAGGAAAUGCAGCCUUCUUGACUGGUAUCUCCAUAAUUAUUUGUACAAUUUUCUGAGCUGUUUGACAAAUUCCCAUUUGUCUUUAAAAUAAGAGGACCAUAGGGAGAACGACCUCAGGCCUUCAAGGUAUUUUAAAAAUCUUUCUUGUACAAACAAUAUUUAAGCCAGAGGGGGAAAAAUUGAUACUUUUUGGAAUUUUAGGUCAGAUCAUAAUAUUACUACUCCGAAUCCACUGAAAUUUUGGCUCUAAGGGACAUUUUGACAUCAUUCUUACUCUCUCUGAAUUAACAUUUAAAUAUUUAUGCAAUUUUUCAGUCUAGAAGAGGAACUGUAAGACUUCCCUGAAUGAGAGGUUAAGCAAAGGUUAUGAUGUUACAAAUUAGAACUAAAUACGACACCGAUACUGAGAAACUGGAAUCCUGUUAGUUAGACUAAUAAUGAAUCAAGUCAAUGAGACAAAGGGUCCCUCAAGGUGAAGUUUGCUGGAGUCUGAAUAUAAAUGGCCAUGUUAUUAAUAAUGCAUCCAUUCAUGAAAAUGCUGUAAUACUAGUUUAUGCCACAGAAAAGACAAAGUGUGAGUCAGUGUGAAGGUGUGGAUAAAAGAGAAUUAUUUAUGCCUCUCAAUUUAAAGAAAGUUUAAUAAAGGGGUAAAUAAGUUUGCCUAAUCUGUAAUUUAUUUCCCCAUAUUUUUUCCAAACUGAAUAAGAAUUUGGCAUUGUUUUUAUUUUCAGUGAAGUAGUCUUAUUAGUUUAAAAUAAAGCAUUAAAAAAAGUUUAGAUUUCCGGGAUUCAUUUGGAGAAUUAAAUUGUAACAUACCCUAUUUUUAUAAACAGGUUUCACUGUCUUGGUACAUUUCUGCAUAUAUAUGAGGGACCGAAAUAAUGUAAAGUUUACAAUGGUGUUUUUGUCCCUCUACCCAAAGUUUUUAUCCCUGCCCUUAAGUAUAAUUGAAAAUGGACUGUUUUACUAGCCUAUAAUUUUGAAGACACUGUAGAGGUGUACAGAAUUAAAUUUGAACAUUUUCACAAAUUUAAAUCUAUCUUUAUCAUUUUGUUUCACAUUCACAUGUAGAAGACUAUCUCUUUGUGCAAUUAAUCUUUAUGGAAAUGACCUCCACUGAUCAAAGGUAUUGGAAGUUAAAGGUUUUCCGCUAAGUUUGGAGCUGAAGAAAAAAGCUGACAGUUGAAAUGACCAACUUCACCUUAAGUGUAUUGAGUAAAAUGAUUUUGUAUGAAGCUUAAAAUAAAAACAAACCUGCUUUGCCCCCAAAUUUGGUUAUCUUUCUCUGCAAUGCUGUAAGAAAUCAUACUGUGUUGAGAAUGAUAUUGUUGCAGUAAGAUUUAAUGUUGUUUAUUGAAACUUGGAGUUUAAAAAUUGGAUUAGAUUCACAUUGUUCUGCUUUAGUGAACUUGAUCUGGAAUGUGAUGCCAAUAAAAUUUCUACAAAUACUCACUUAUACUUUCUGAUGUUUUAGUAGAUAAGCCUGGACACACAUUAAUUUUAAUAUAGUACAUAUCAAGUUGUUUCUCUCACUCUUUUCGAAACAAAAGAAUUUAGAU